rnacentral:lncRNA from 1 species
GAGUUAUUGGCCAAAUGAAUUGUAAAUGAAUUGUGAUUCACUGAUUUGUGACUCCCAUGAAUUUAUUGUGGCAAUCUAUGUGCAAAUCCCAUUUACCAAAAAUCAUUUGCUAAUUUUUUAAUUAAUAAUUACCAAAACUUGAAUGAUUAUGGUGUAGUAAUGGUCAGUUACACAUCUUACUUAUUACCUUUAUUAUAAGCGGCUGACAAUUAUAUGGGUAACUCCUUUUUACCAAAAUUAUGUACCUUUAUUUCUUAUUGUAACUC